UACGUAGGGGGCUAGCGUUGUCCGGAAUCAUUGGGCGUGAAGAGCGUGUAGGCGGCCCGGUAAGUCCGCUGUGAAAGUCGGGGGCUCAACCCUCGAAUGCCGGUGGAUACUGUCGGGCUAGAGUGCGGAAGAGGCGAGUGGAAUUCCUGGUGUAGCGGUGAAAUGCGCAGAUAUCUGGAGGAACACCGGUGGCGAAGGCGGCAUCCUGGACCAAUAUUGACGCUGAGGAGCGAAAGCCAGGGGAGCAAACGGG
rnacentral:rRNA from 1 species